rnacentral:misc_RNA from 1 species
UCAAACUUGGUCAUUUAGAGGAAGUAAAAGUCGUAACAAGGUCUCCGUUGGUGAACCAGCGGAGGGAUCAUUAUCGAGUUUUCAUACUCCCAAACCUUUGUGAACCUUACCAUCGUUGCUUCGGCGGGUUCGCCCCGGGGCUCGCGGCCUAGCUGCCCGCCCCGGACCCAGGCGCCCGCCGAGGGACCCAAACUCUUGUUUUCCAGUGGUAUCUUCUGAGUUAACUUGAUAAAUAAAUCAAAACUUUCAGCAACGGAUCUCUUGGUUCUGGCAUCGAUGAAGAACGCAGC